rnacentral:rRNA from 1 species
GACGAACGCUGGCGGCGUGCUUAACACAUGCAAGUCGAACGGAAAGGCCCUGCUUUUGUGGGGUGCUCGAGUGGCGAACGGGUGUGUAACCCGUGAGUAACCUGCCCUUGACUUUGGGAUAACUUCAGGAAACUGGGGCUAAUACCGGAUAGGAGCUCCUGCUGCAUGGUGGGGGUCGGAAAGUUUCGGCGGUUGGGGACGGACUCGCGGCUUAUCAGCUUGUUGGUGGGGUAGUGUCGUACCAAGGCUUUGACGGGUAGCCGGCCUGAGAGGGUGACCGGCCACAUUGGGACUGAGAUACGGCCCAGACUCCUACGGGAGGCAGCAGUGGGGAAUAGUGCACAAUGGGCGGAAGCCGGAUGCAGCAACGCCGCGUGCGGGAUGACGGCCUUCGGGUUGUAAACCGCGUUCGCCUGUGACGAAGCGUGAGUGACGGUAAUGUGUAAAGAAGCACCGGCUAACUACGUG